rnacentral:rRNA from 1 species
UGAGGAAUCUUGCGCAAUGGGGGCAACCCUGACGCAGCAACGCCGCGUGAGUGAGGAAGGUCUUCGGAUCGUAAAGCUCUGUCAGUUGGGAAGAACCACCUAAGAGUUAAUACCUCUUAGGCUUGACGGUACCAACAGAGGAAGCACCGGCUAACUCCGUGCCAGCAGCCGCGGUAAUACGGGGGGUGCAAGCGUUAUCCGGAAUUAUUGGGCGUAAAGGGUGUGUAGGUGGUUUUGUUAGUCUUCUGUCAAAUUUCUCGGCUUAACCGGGAGCUCGCAGGGGAAACGGCAAGACCUAGAGUGUGCGAGGGGUCUGUGGAACUCAUAGUGUAGCAGUGAAAUGCGUUGAUAUUAUGGGGAACACCAAAAGCGAAGGCAGCAGACUGGAGCAUUACUGACACUGAAACACGAAAGCGUGGGUAGCGAAUGGG